UAAUACGAAGGUGGCAAGCGUUGUUCGGAUUUACUGGGCGUACAGGGAGCGUAGGUGGUUCGGUAAGCCCUCCGUGAAAACUUCAGGCUUAACCUGGAAAGUGCAGAGGGGACUGCCGGGCUAGAGGACGGGAGAGGAGCGCGGAAUUCCCGGUGUAGCGGUGAAAUGCGUAGAGAUCGGGAGGAAGGCCGGUGGCGAAGGCGGCGCUCUGGAACGUUCCUGACACUGAGGCUCGAAAGCGUGGGGAGCAAACAGGAUUAGAUACCCUGGUAGUCCACGCCCUAAACGAUGGAUACUAAGUGUCGGCGGGUUACCGCCGGUGCCGCAGCUAACGCAGUAAGUAUCCCGCCUGGGGAGUACGGCCGCAAGGUUGAAACUCAAAUGAAUUGACGG
rnacentral:rRNA from 1 species